rnacentral:misc_RNA from 1 species
AACGCAUAUUGCACUCUCUGGUAUUCCGGAGAGUAUGCCUGUUUCAGUAUCAGUAAACACCAUCAAACAACUCCUUGGAGGGGUUUGGAUUUGAGCGUUGCCGAGAAAACUCACCUUUUUUCGGUCCGCUCGAAAUGCAAGUACACAGGACAGGAUCCUAGACCCCUGAGGUGGGAAAACAAAGCGUAGUAGUUGACUUGACUGUCUUCUUUCGCUGAAAAAGAACACCCGGUUUUUAGGACCUUGCUGUGCAAAUUCGCAGGAAGAAAAGUAAUAUUCUUUUCACUUCUUGAUCUGAAAUCAGGUAGGACUACCCGCUGAACUUAA